rnacentral:rRNA from 1 species
GACGAACCGUGCGAACGUUAUUCGGAAUCACUGGGCUUAAAGCGCGUGUAGGCGGGCCGGCACGUCGGUCGCUGAAAUCCCCCGGCUCAACCGGGGAACGGGCGCCGAUACGACCGCCCUGGAGGGGCGUAGGGGGACCUGGAACUUCCGGUGGAGCGGUGAAAUGCGUUGAGAUCGGAAGGAACGCCCGUGGCGAAAGCGAGGUCCUGGACGCUUACUGACGCUGAGACGCGAAAGCCAGGGGAGCGAACGGG